CCUACGGGGGGCAGCAGUGAGGAAUAUUGGUCAAUGGACGAGAGUCUGAACCAGCCAAGUAGCGUGAAGGAUGACUGCCCUAUGGGUUGUAAACUUCUUUUAUAUGGGAAUAAAACGUUCCACGUGUGGGAUUUUGUAUGUACCAUAUGAAUAAGGAUCGGCUAACUCCGUGCCAGCAGCCGCGGUAAUACGGAGGAUCCGAGCGUUAUCCGGAUUUAUUGGGUUUAAAGGGAGCGUAGGUGGAUUGUUAAGUCAGUUGUGAAAGUUUGCGGCUCAACCGUAAAAUUGCAGUUGAGACUGGCAGUCUUGAGUACAGUAGAGGUGGGCGGAAUUCGUGGUGUAGCGGUGAAAUGCUUAGAUAUCACGAAGAACUCCGAUUGCGAAGGCAGUUCACUGGACUGCAACUGACACUGAGGCUCGAAAGUGUGGGUAUCAAACAGGAUUAGAUACCCUAGUAGUC
rnacentral:rRNA from 1 species